UACGGGGGGAGCAAGCGUUGUUCGGAUUUACUGGGCGUAAAGGGCGCGUAGGCGGUCAUGACAAGUCACUUGUGAAAUCUCCGGGCUUAACUCGGAAAGGUCAAGUGAUACUGUCGGACUAGAGUACAGAAGGGGCAACUGGAAUUCUCGGUGUAGCGGUGAAAUGCGUAGAUAUCGAGAGGAACACCUGCGGCGAAGGCGGGUUGCUGGGCUGAUACUGACGCUGAGGCGCGAAAGCUAGGGGAGCGAACGGG
rnacentral:rRNA from 1 species